AAGGUGAGAAUCGGGACAGUCGCAGGCUGGGAGACGCUCUGCUUUUCCUGCGUCCUGCUGGGAGCUGCGCGCUCCAGGUAUCCUGGCCUGCCGCCCUAGCCGGCCCAAGGAGCCACACAGGACAGUUGACCCAACACUUCUGCCACCUGAAGAACGACACCUGCAUUCCUCCAUCUCUGGGACCACCAAGGAACUCAGGGAGCUUGGAAUCUCUCAGAUCAAAAAGAUACUGACUCAUCGGAUAGCCAUGCCAUCCUGAAAACGGCCUUCCUUGUGUGUACAUUAUUUGCAACAAGCAACAAGUUUAUAAGCACUUUGGUAAAAUUGCAUGUGAGGGUUAAAAUAUUAAAGUCAGUGCGUCAACUUGAAA
rnacentral:lncRNA from 10 species